rnacentral:sRNA from 2 species
CUAAAUAUUCGUUAGGUGAGGUUCCUAUACAGAUAAAUGCUGCUGCCCGGAAACAUCGAGAGAUGCCAAUGGGUCAACAGGUAUUACCGAAAUAAGGUUUUACUUAAUGUAGCUGGAGAUAAAGUGGUCCAAAGCUGUAUAGUGCUAAAACUCAACGAGUGAAGGGUUUU